GUUGCCCAUUGAGGCGUUCCUAAAGCUACUGUUCCUGUGUAGUCUUGGGGCUGUAAUGGGCAUAGAGAGAAUGGUGUCUGUCUGCAUGCUACUACU